ACAAGAUGCAUUUAGAGGAGAGUUUAUGAAAUGCCCGGGGAGAUGGGCACCCUCAAGCCGUGUGCUCUCCAGGGCUCUGUGGACAGCAUUGUGACUGGAGACUGCAAAUCUUCAGGAACCAUUUCUCUCUCAUGGGCCAGGAGAGAAACGUUCCAGAGACAGAGCUGACACGGAGAGGGGAAGGAAAAGGAAGAGGGGAGGAAAGGCGAACAAAGGGAAGAAAGAAAAGACCUGAGGAAAAGAAGGAGAGGAGAUGUUUCCAGCCCCCUUUCCGCAGCCCUUCCAGGUCUGUCCAUGCCCAGGGCCGUCCUCAACAGAGAGCGCGGAAUACUCAAAGCACAUAGGAGCACUAAGUCAUCCUUGCUGAGUGUGCUGAAUCAUCUUCAGAUUGUUGAAUGAAUUGGUCACUAAAUGAAGAAUUGAUAUAGUAUUACAUUACACUUUCCAGAACAGAAACAGUCAAAGGAAACUCCAAGUUGAUGACUUCACUUUUAUUUGGAUAUCUCUGACAUGCAGUUUUGUUGUGUGUAACAGAACAUAAAUCUACAGUACUGUACAGUACAAUCAGCAAAAUUCACAGUACUGCAUAAACAAGCUUUGUGUACCAAAAGAAGAUACUUUUGAGGCUCUAUAAACAAGAUGUACAGGACUAUAUAAAAAAGUCCAAGCAGUGUAAGUCUGAAGUCUUUAAACAGGUAGGUAAUUAAAUGAAGAAUAAUAUCUCUAUUAGACAUUUUAGUAUCAAAAUAGUUCAAUGAAAAUGAUUUGUUUUCUUAAGAACACAUGCUUUCCAAUGAGCUUUAGAUGCAACUACAGCAGCCACCAACAAAUCAUCACAUCAGCUGGCUUCAGGCAAUAUUGAUCUCUCCCCUGUCAGAAAAGGCAGAGAUGAAAAUUAUUCAGGACAUCCAGGAUAUCUUAUGAUACAGCACCGAUAUAGACGGCACUCAUCAAUAAUCACGACUGCAAAACAGAUGCAUUCCAGUUUUGUUCUUCAGCAAAUUAAUAAAGCGACUGUCCACAUAUUUCCUCAUAUGCCUUUUUCUGGAAUCUCAGCAGCUCCAUGAAUUCUUCAUUAAUGAAGGACCAUCUGGAGGUCACUGAAAGGGACCAAAGGAACUGAAAUACUACUAAUAAGACAUCACAGAGCCAUGGGCCUGCUGGACUCUAUAAAAAUCGUCAGAAAUGCCAAAUAUCCUUGGCAGUGAGACUGGCAUGGAGGAAGCCACUCCCCCUGUCCACCUCUGCACCAAACACCAC
rnacentral:lncRNA from 1 species